GCGGUCUUGGUAUAAAGGUUGUGCCUCAGACUUCCAAUCUGAUGAUACGAGUUCGAGUCUCGUAGAUCGCU
rnacentral:tRNA from 2 species